rnacentral:rRNA from 1 species
UACGUAGGGACCAAGCGUUGUUCGGAUUUACUGGGCGUAAAGGGCGCGUAGGCGGCAAUUCAAGUCAUCUGUGAAAUCUCCGGGCUUAACUCGGAACGGUCAGGUGAUACUGCUUUGCUAGAGUGCGGAAGGGGCAAUCGGAAUUCUUGGUGUAGCGGUGAAAUGCGUAGAUAUCAAGAGGAACACCUGAGGUGAAGACGGGUUGCUGGGCUGACACUGACGCUGAGGCGCGAAAGCCAGGGGAGCAAACGGG